rnacentral:rRNA from 1 species
AGAGUUUGAUCCUGGCUCAGGAUUAACGCUAGCGGCAGGCCUAAUACAUGCAAGUCGAACGGGAUUCAAAGUAGCAAUAUUUUGAUGAGAGUGGCGCACGGGUGAGUAACACGUAUGCAAUUUACCUUUAACUGGGGGAUAGCCCUCCGAAAGGAGGAUUAAUACCGCAUAAUAUAUUGAAAUGGCAUCAUUUUAAUAUUAAACCUACGGGGGUUAAAGAUGAGCAUGCAUCCGAUUAGCUAGUUGGUGUGGUAACGGCUCACCAAGGCAACGAUCGGUAGGGGGUCUGAGAGGAUGAUCCCCCACACUGGUACUGAGACACGGACCAGACUCCUACGGGAGGCAGCAGUAAGGAAUAUUGGACAAUGGAGGCAACUCUGAUCCAGCCAUGCCGCGUGAAGGAUUAAGGCCCUAUGGGUUGUAAACUUCUUUUAGACGGGACAAAACCCCUUUACGUGUAAAGGGUUGAUGGUACUGUCAGAAUAAGCAUCGGCUAACUUCGUGCCAGCAGCCGCGGUAAUACGAAGGAUGCAAGCGUUAUCCGGAAUUAUUGGGUUUAAAGGGUGCGUAGGCGGACUAAUAAGUCAGUGGUGAAAGCCUGCAGCUUAACUGCAGAAUUGCCGUUGAUACUGUUAGUCUUGAGUACAGUUGAGGUAGGCGGAAUGUGUCAUGUAGCGGUGAAAUGCUUAGAUAUGACACAGAACACCGAUUGCGAAGGCAGCUUGCUAAACUGUAACUGACGCUGAGGCACGAAAGCGUGGGGAGCAAACAGGAUUAGAUACCCUGGUAGUCCACGCCCUAAACGAUGAUAACUCGCUGUUGGCGAUAUACUGUCAGCAGCCAAGCGAAAGCAUUAAGUUAUCCACCUGGGGAGUACGACCGCAAGGUUGAAACUCAAAGGAAUUGACG